GUCUACGGCAGACAAUGAACGCCAACGCCAGAACGCCACCGAGCCGGCCGAACAUGUCACCGAAAUUUCAGUUGGGAAUUUUAAUAUUGAAGAAAUGUCUACGGCAGACAAUGAGAAUCAGGAUGCGCUGCUAGCAUCGUUCGAUGUUCCGCACAGGAAUACAGAAGAUCAUUCAGAACCUGUUGAAAUAUCCAUAAACAUCGCACCAGAUCUGCCCGAAGAUGUCCUCUCUGAAGAACCGAUUACCUUCAAAGUUUUGAAUGAGGGUAGUAAGCGGGGUGGUCGUCUGCUAGUGUCAAGCGAUGGAUUUUCC